GUCUACAGCCAUGCUACCCUGAACAAGCCUGAUCCUGUCUGAUCUCAGAAGCUAAGCAGGGUCAGGCCUGGUUAAUUCUUGGAUGGGAGACCACCUAGGAAGACCAGGUGCUGUAGGCA
rnacentral:rRNA from 1 species